rnacentral:rRNA from 1 species
UGGGGAAUAUUGCGCAAUGGGCGAAAGCCUGAACGCAGCAACGCCGUGUGAGGGAUGAAGGCUUUCGGGUCGUAAACCUCUGUCAGAAGGGAAGAACGGGCAUUGGUCUAAUAGGCCUUUGUUUUGACGGUACCUUCAGAGGAAGCACCGGCUAACUCCGUGCC